ACCUGCACCUCCAGCCAGGGCCCCAGCAGAAGGGAGGAGUGUUCCAAGGACCGGAGGCAGGAAGUGGAUUGGUCGCCAGGAAAGGGAAAGCGCCUGAAUUGGAGAUGCGCAAGCGCAGGCACUUCGCAGGUGGCGGGGAGUAGCGAGAAUGAGGCGGGGCUAGGCUAACUGGAGGCGAGGAGGAGCGGUGGAAUAGCAGAAUUACGGAGCGCUGUUAAGGACAAGUUUGGUCGCGUGAUUCUCAUCGGGGUGUCCCGAUGCGAACCGUAAGGUGGAGGUUCAAGUAGGGAAAGUUUGAUUGGACUAAUUCAAGGGGAGAGGUUUGAAGAUUUAGGAAAUUGGAGCAGGGGGAGAAGGUAGAAACUGCUAAAAUAUGGGUCUAGAUUGAUGAGUGCCCUAAAUGACUCCGAAAGUCCCGUAGGGGAAUUUCCAGAAGCAGCUUCGGGUGUUCUACCUAAAACAUAAAAUGAAGAAAAAAUUGACGUACCUUGUGUUCUAGCAAGCGAAUUUUAAAAAUUACAACGAACUCACUCGUUAAAAAAAUAAGGUUAGUCUUGUUUCCCGAAUGCGAACCAAAGUCAACUUUUUAAGAUGGAUAUCAGCUGCUCCACGCUACACACUUCCUGUUCGAUUGCUGAAAUUGUGCAUCUGAAACACUUUUAAGAUUUGUCAGCAUAAUUUGGUUGGAUGUUGUUACCGGUUGGCUUUGGUUGGUCGGAAGCCAAAGGAACAAAGGUACAAAACUAGUCUUCAUUCUUGCUUGACAUGGGGCGCCCCACUGGAUAACCAAGCCCAGAAAAUGAGCUGCUACACAACCUCAAAUACUUGAGGAUUUUCCCCACCUGAUAUGACCGAGUACCACACACAUUACAAUGCAUACAUCCCUGUGGAUAUAAUGAGGACUAAGAAGAGGCCUGAUUAUAUAAUCUACUUCUACCAAGACCAAUGCAUAUGAUAAAACAAGAAUAUCUGCUUGGGUUUGGGGGCGUAGCUUUAUGGUAGAGUGCUUACCUAGUGUGCUGAAGGUCCUGCAUUUCAGUCCCCAACAUUGCAAAAGGAAAAAAAUGUUAAAAAAAGAAUGACUGCCUGGGUGAGACCAGUGUAUUGCCAAAUCCAGACCCAUGCUAAUGCAAAGAAAAGGUGAAGCUGGGGAGCAAAGACCUACUGUCGAGUCUUAGAGCCACAGCACAGGCAACACGGAAGAACGGAGCUAGUCAUCGUAAACCCUCUGUCAUCUGAUGCCUCAUUUUAAAAAUGAAUAGAGGUUACAUUUCAGAAUUUCAAACUUUCUGAUUUUCAGACAUUUACCACUGCUUCCAAAUGUUUCAGAAUCCAUGUACAGGGCUGGGGAUGUGGCUCAAGCGGUAGCGCGCUCACCUGGCAUGCGUGCGGCCUGGGUUCAAUCCUCAGCACUACAUACAAAAAAAAACAAAAGAUGUUGUGUCCGCCGAAAACUAAAAAAUAAAUAUUAAAAAAUUCUCUCUCUCUCUCUCUCUCUCUCUCUCUCUCUCU